rnacentral:lncRNA from 7 species
GGCCAGCAGCAUGGAGCAGCGCGAUGACUCAGUGAGUGACUCACAGUGCAGAGCCUGACCCAGCGCAUUGAAAGCCCAAGUGCUCCCAUCAGAUCAGCACUCCUCCUCCCCAGCCACCCUGGAGCAGCACCUCGUGCCAUGCUCAGCACAGAGCCCUGUGGAUGUGCAUGGGGUGUAGGCUUGCUGGUUUGUUUUUGUUAACAAGACGGUGUUAUGGAAGAUUUUGCUUUGCUUUGACUACAGAGUUCCUCACGCAUAGGAUGGAAGACACAAUGAAGCUGAUUGCUGAGAUACAGAUGACAUUACAGCCUAUCUUUACUGUGUCAUGCUUUUUUCUUUAACUCUGUGCAUUUACACAUGAAUGGGCCAUUGGUUCUAAAUGGCAAGAAGAUCACAGUGAAUUAUAUUCACUUUAGUGGUAUGGUGUCAAAUUCAAUCUAGUAUAAAAUUCCCCAUCCUUUCAGAUGGAGGAAACUAUUUUAAUUUGUAUCAUCAGCAGCUGAAAUUCCCUUUUCAUCCUUUCAUGGGCAGUGGAGAUAGACGGGACUGGGAGCUUCUUGCACAGUAUUAGACAUCCCUGAAAUCUAGGGGAAUGUGGGGAAUCAACUCUGUCAGAAUUCAAACCUAGCACAACUUUAAUCUUCUUUUCAACGUCAGAAACAAAAAUAGAGAACUGAUAUGCUUGAUUGUGGAUAAAAUCAGAAGUUGUUGUUGCUGGGAGUUGCAGUAAUUAUCAGUAAUGGUAUUGCUUCAGUAGGCCUAAGCUGGGUGCAAUUCAGCACUGAGUUAGUGCUAUUGAUUACGUGUAAUUGAGCAUCUCUAAACAUCAGGUAUGAGACUGAUAUCUUGUAAGUGCUCCAUUCACUGAUUGCCUCGAAGGCUGCUUCUGAGGCCAGUGGAAGGGCAAAAAUGCAGACGAAACAUUGAUAUGACAUAAUGGGAAGCAGCGGGCUGUGUCUGUGCUUAGUGAAACAUCGUUAUGGGCUUUCCUGAGGAGGAUAAUUAGGUGUGAUUCCUCCCUGCCUCCUGUGAAUAAAUACCUGGGAGAAAGCACUAGGGUACGCAACUGUGCUCCUACAAAAAAUGAUAGGUUUGAGAAGGAAGACAUGGAACUCACAGCUUCUGCAUGUUGCAGUAAGCCUUUUCCCAGGAUCACUCUUUAAAUGGGAAUGUUGCCUACAGCUGUCACUCCACAUAUAGCACAUGAGAUGGUUAAGAAUAAGUUCUUGGAGCCAAUGGAAGCUGCAAGAGG